rnacentral:lncRNA from 1 species
CAGAGGUGUCAAGCUGCCAGUGUUGAUUCAAAUGAAAAUGAUAAUGUUGAAGAAGGAGGCUGCAAAAGUUCCUAAGCAACCUGACGGGAUAUACCUUGUAAAAUGCUUUCAAAAAAGCUUCAAAGGGCAGCUAAUAAAUGAAUAUACUGACAGGGUUUAAUCGCUUCUCCUCUCUCCUAGUAACAGGAAUUAAAGGCCACAGGUGGUUCUGGGUUGGAGGCAGGACCCAAAAGUAAAUGCAGCAUUCAGAGCUGCACAGGCCCAGUCAGAGCAGCUGCCACUUCAGGCACUUACAGUGGUCACCCAGGAUUCAGGAGAUGCAUAUUAUAAGUAACUCAGUUCUGUAAGAGCUAGGAGUUAGUUCACACUGCUUGGGCUCUCACUAAGUAAGCCUGUGCAAUGCAGGCAGGAAGGGAGAAAAUGCUUACAAAAAAGAAAUGAGUAGAUUCUUGCCUUAGGAAAGUCAACGGGAUACAAUUCCUGAUGGAAGAGCAGUUGCUAUUCUAAGAGCUAAUUAACAAGAAACAAUGCUGCAAAAAACUUGGGAGACAGGACGGCAGAACACACCCAGAUGGCCUGUGGGAAAUUCCCAGGCCUGCCAAUGAUGUGAGAGAGGACAUCUUGUGAAUGGGUGGGUACAGCCUGUUCUUCUGGGCAAGACAAACAGUGCAGGACUCUAUAUGCCAGGGUGGCUGAAGCCCCAGUGUCCAAGAGGCUUGCCCAUUCCUCCCUGCCCCUGGCACUGAACCCAAGCUUCCAUGGGGCACUGUGGAAGAGGCCUUGCCUGACGACAAGUAGACCAAACACGACCGUCCGUCCUCUAAAAACUGCACCCUUGGAAUUGGGGACAGGCAGAAUAACCCUUUCACUAGCUUGAUACUUAGCCUCUUGGGGUUCUGAUAAAUCCUUUUGAAUAACCAAGCAGUUUUGUUUUUAAUACCUUGGCCUGAGCCCUUUAGAUGCAGCCAUCCUCAACUUACAAAAAAAACAAACCAAAAGAAAAAACAAAACACACACACACACAAACAAACUUUGAUUCAAUUGACAAAGGUUUUCAAGGUGUCUACUACAUGUAAGGCAGCACACUAGGGGUUUCUUGGGGAUACGCAGAUGACAAAGACAGUGUCUCUUCAUCCAGGAGCUAAUCAAGAGAAGGGGGAAGAAUCAAGCAAACUUCAUAAUACACAGCCGGAUGAAAUGAAAAGAGACUUAGAUCAAGUGCUGUGAGAGCUUGGAAGAGGCACGGGGCAAAUAACACUGGGGCUGGUGGUGGGAAGGCAAGUGACAGCCUCGUGGAAGAGGUGGCAUUUGACCAGAGAUGAGGACGAACAGAAUUAACAUAGUAGGCAUGAAGGAAGAAAAUGCGCCUGAGGACACAGCCAGCACAAAUGCAGAGGCAUACAAGUGCCUGGUACAGCUGGCAUGCAGGGAUGGCUGAGGAACUGCGGGGGCAGCCGGUGGGAUCCAUCCGAGGUGAGUGAUGAGAGCUGCACGGCAAUUUAGGGGAUGACACUAGCCACAGCGUGAUGAAUAAAUCUUAAAUGCAGAGGUAGCGCCUGGUGGUGAGCAGUUAGAGGCUGAGACAAUAGCUGAGAACACAUGACAAGUUCAGCAACUAGGAGAGUUUCUAGUUAAUUGGAAGGAAGAGUUGGAAGCACAUUCUAGAGGGCCGUGGAAGAAUAAACACAAUCCACUAACUGCCGGGAAUGGGAGUGAAGAGUCCAAGAUCACAGGGUCCUCCCUGGCUGCCUGAUGGGGCAGUGGUGUUGAGUAACAGAAAUGGAACAAAAGAGGGGCAAGAGAUUAUUCUUUGUAGCAUGAGUAUUAGUAGCAGUGUUAGUAGUAGUAGUAUUUUUGUUAGUGGAACAAAGACAAAAAUAGCUCACACUUACUGAGAUCCUACAGUCUGCCAAAUCUGGGAGGCUGAUGGGCUCCGCUUUGCAUUGGAGGUGUGUGGGCACCCACAUGCAGAUGAAUUCUAGGGUAAAUCUGGGGUGCAGGCCAGGGCUGGCCAUCUAACGCUCAGAGACAUUGAAAUUUGAGUAACCACUGAAGCUGGGAGGGCAGGUUAGAUUGUGGAAAGUGACAGAGACAGACUAGAACUGAUACCAGCCCUAGGUCUCAGACACAUUUUAUUUGGCCUACCUAGUGUGUUUUGAAAUAAUUUUAAUUACUUCUCAAAUAUUUAAACGCUAGGAAAUGUCACAUCACAUGAAAAGUCAGGUUUUCCAACUUCUCGUGGAAAAUGAGAUACUCGGGAACACUGGGCCUGCACUCCUCUCAUAGAAACGGCCUGGAGUUGAGCAGGGGCUUCUGCUUUUCAUGGGGCACCAGAUGCCCAGUCAGUCACAUGCCCCACCACUCCCUAUCACCUCCCACCUGGCUGGUAUCACUCACGGACUUUCAUGGCUCCUGACCCCUGGUGUAGGGUGAGAAGCAGCCAGAGUGGCAGCUGGAGGAUGCCAUGAAGAGGCCAGAGGAGGAUGAAUACCAUGAAACAGAAACCAGGACCGGGAGAAGGAGGGUCCGGGGUGAUACUAAGGGGGUAGAAGCUUUGUGUGUUGUGGUGGUGGUGGGGUGGCCCUUCUACCACUACCCCCGUCCAGUGAUGUGGAGAUGAGGAGUUAAGGGAACAUUUAACAUUAGUCCCAGGCCUGAAAUCUUUCACAGUUCACGUUGGUGCAGAUGGUGUGGAGUUGGAGGUGGAUAGCUUGCCAUCCUAGGCUGGGCACAGGCCUUUCCCUAAACUCUCUGUUCCUACUGCUGUGAAUGGUGACAGCAUAAUCCUUUUGCAGAAAACUUUCAUUAUUUGCUUAUGUCCCUAAUGGGACCCAAAUGCCAGUAAGUUAACAAUUGUGCUCCUCGGGGCCAUCACUUUCAUCCACAUUUAAGGUCACACUGAAAAGUUGCCUCACCUCAGCUGACUUUCUCCCUGACUGUGAUCCAAGAGGGAAAGUCGGCCAAAGAGGAAAAUAAUGUGACUUCAUGAAAUAUUCUGCACACAUUUACUAAAGGAAGCAGAAUGUUUUCUAGGGCCAAGAAAAGCACUUUAUAAGCUGCACAGAGUGAGUGAGGGGACCAGGGUGGAAAAUCUGGAUUCUACCCCAAGUGUAAGUCUCAAACUGACUGGAGAGCAGGGGAAAGAGAAGGGUCAAGAACUCAGGGACUCAUUUUAUGUUCCCCUUCCUGCUGUGGCCCUCAUUACAGUGGAACUGAACUAGAGGAUACUCAAGGAAUCAGAGGCACACCUGGCCCCGAGAAUGAGACACUUAACAGUUUUUUUCCCAGACUACAGAGGAGGUGUGGCUGCAGGGGAAAGCAAGCAGGCAUGCUCCCUCCUGACGCUAGUUCUAAGGGGACAUGUAAAGGAUUUGGGCCAAGUUUGUAUAGGAAUGUCCUGGGAGGCCUCCUGCAAGCCAGGGAAGGCUGAAAGAACUAACAGCUUCUCUGACAUGGAGGGCUGGUCAGGCUCUGCAGUGUCACUGCUUGUGUUUGUAUCAUUCUUUCACCACUGAGUUACUGUGUGACUGUGGACAAAUUUCUUAACUUCUCUGAGCCUUAGAUUUCUCAACUCUAACAUGAAGAUUUUCCUAUAUUUUAAAAAGUUAUGAUGAGUCAAUGAGAGAAUUAACGUAAAGCGCCUGGCAUAAAGAAAGCCCUCAAGAAAUGAUAGUAUUAGUGAACAUCUUGUUGCCGUCCUAGGCUCGAAUAGACUGUCCCUAAACACUCUGUUCCCACCGCUGUGAACAGUGGCAGCAUAAUUCUUUUGCAGAAUACUUCCAUUAUUUGCUUAUGUCCCUAAUGGGACCCAAAUGCCAAACUUGUAAGUCCAUCCUGUUCUACUAAAAGGCAGGGGCACAGAUAGAAAGCUGCUGAGAGACUACACUCUGAGGUCAGCCUUGACCCUGAGGCUCAUCUGGCUCUCCCUGUUCCUCUACAGCCAGGUAAAGGUUAGAGGCAAGUCUCGGAGAUGGAAACCCAAGGUCAUGCAGUUGUGCCAAUGCCCGUUGUUAGACAACAUGCUUCUAUUCCUGACAAACCAGUCUCAAGCAGCUCUGACUGAUGGGGCGGAUUUCAAUGCUCUCCAAUGACUUCCAAGUGUUAAGAAAAAGCUGCUGCUACCCUACAUGCCCAAGCUAUACGAACUACUUUUUUCCAGGCAAACAGGAUUCCUGCAGACAAUGCUCGGAUGAUGAAAUCUGAGAGGCUGGAUGACAGAGAAACCCACAUGCAUACACACACACUUUAUAAAGCUUAGGAACAAAAGCACUUUAUAAUCUCCUUCUGAUGCCAAGUUUACAGUGCUUCCAGAGUCAACAAAGGUGACUCAGGAGAGUGCACCCAGCUCCUUUCAGCACUUAUUUAGCUCAGCCACCUGUGUGAGCUCAAAGACAAGGGUGCCGACUUCACCUGAGUAGACCCUGAGUCACGUGAUUUCUUGCUGGAGAUGAUUCAGCAAAGGAGCACUAACCUCUGAGACAAGGCUUCAGCUUCCUGAGCUCUGCUGACUCGCCUGGGACUUCCCUAAGCCCUUCUGGACCUAGAUGAGGGCAAAACUCAGUGGAACCUCAGAAGCCCUAAAAAAAUGAUAGACUUUCUUUUGUCUCAUCAUUAUCAGCAUUUUGGGAUGAUUUAGUCAGCCUAAGAAACCUGAUGGCAUGUUGACACCAGAAAACAGGUAGUAUAUAUUCCCAAACCAAGUUAAAAAAAAUUAAGAAAUAACAGCUGGAAUGCCUUUUAUUUUUUCUUUACACAAAUGUGUGUGUCAUCGUCAUAUGCCUUUUUUGUGUUAAUUUCUGAGGAUCCUGCCAGUGUGAAUACUCCAUUCUCUGCGAGUCGCAGGUCAGGCUGCUUUUGAGGCAAGCACACGUUAAGUAUUGAGCAGAAACAUUUGAAGCAAAGAUGAGAAAGACAGAAGGGGAAGCAAGAAAAAUAGUCUUCCCAGUGUGCCUAUUUGGGUGCAUAUAAAGUUACUUUUAGAUGUGCGAUUACUGGUUAAUGAUUUGGGGAAUUCUUUUCAAGUAGAAAUCCUGGGCUAAAAACUAAGUGUGCUCAAGCUACCCCCGCACCCACUGAUUCUGCACUCCAUGGGAAAAGUUCUCACAAGCAAGUCCUUUGUCCACUACCCACGUCUAUAGGAAAUGUUUGAACAGCUAUACACAAAGAACUCACAAGUCCACAACCUCGGGGGUGUUGCGGGUGGAGAGGGCAGUGGUAAAGGUGAUGACAGGGAGGGCCUGUGGGGACAGUAAUAUUAGAUUAGUGGUCAGAAGAUGCUGGAGCCUGCCUUGCCAGUCACACACUUUUAGAGGAAUGCUGGACAGUACACACCCUCCCCAACCCUGAAUGUAGGCCCUCGCUGACAUCACGCCAGAUGAAGCCCUGAGGUCUUUAACAUCUGUAACUCUAUGGCAUGUAACAUAAACAGGUGUCUGACCAGUUUCCCCAGAUAUAGAAUAAUAAUAAUACCUUUCAUUUAAAAAGGUAAGAGGGAAUUCAACAAGCUUUCCUUCUUAAAUAAAUCUCCAUCUCAGGAAGCCAUGGAAAGAUGCCCCUCCCACACUAAGACUGUAGAGAGAGGCACUGUGAAGGUCUGGCUUGGAGAUCUCAGCUCUUCCUGCCUCUCAGGGGGAAAGGGCAGAUCCAGCAGGCCGGGAAAGGAUCUCCCAGGGUCCCAAGGAGGCAGCAUGGGGCAAAGUCCAACAGUGAGGAUUCUCUCCUUCUCUGGUCUCUUUUCUGUUAAAAAUGCUUCUUUGGGGUACCCUUCAUUACUACCCUGGAGGUUGAAGGACACUUCUUGAGAAGGCAUAGAUACUCUUCAGGUAUGCUGAAGAAAUGAGUUGUGCUAAAACCACUGGUUAAUUUUGUCUGUGGCAAAAAAUCAUGAGGGUGACAUAGACUCCCAGGCCAGGAACCCGAGACUGGAUUUAAGAGAUGUGGCCAGGAUCCACAGGGGAGCUUGUAUGUGGCUCACAUCAUUAGCUCUUUCUGUAUAUUUGUAUUGUAAACCAUUUCCCUUCAUUUGUGAAGAUGGAGAUCACUUUUUCUAUACAGGCUAGAAAUGUUUCUUCAUACACACACGCUGAGCUUGUUUAUAAAAGAUAUUCAUUUAUAUGGUGGUUUUAACAACUUUUCCAUGUGGAAAUUUUAGACGACAGUAACACAGACCCUCAUGUACUCAUCACUCAGCCUUGAUGGUUACUGACACAUGCCCAAUAUUGUUUCAUCUGUUUCUCCCCACAACUCCUGGAUUAAUUUGAAAGAAAUCCUAGAAGUCACUUAAUCAGCAAAUACUCCAGUCUGUUGGUCCACUCCUUAUACAAUAGCCAGGGUGAUCUUUUACACAUGAAGUAGUGAUUGCAUCACUCAUGCUUGCUUGGAAUUCUUCAAAGACUUACGUUGGCACUUCAGAUAAAGUGUAGACUCCUUCGCGUGACCUAGGAUGUCCUUUGGGCUCUCACUGUUCCCUCAGCCUCCUCACCUGAAGCUCUCACUGCCCCACCCCUUUGCUCAUCACACUCCAACCCGCCUGCCAUUGAGCUACUCAAAUGGACUGCUCCUUUCUCAAGACCUCUGCACACUUUCAAGCCUCAUUUCUCUUCAGCCUUUAUUAAAUGUCAUCUCCUCCAGAUGGCCUCCUUUGGUGGCCCAGGUCAUGUUAGAUCUGCCUGUUAAAUAAAUGCUUUCAAAGAACCUUGGAUUUUAUUUUUUUCUCAUUAAAUUGUAAGUAUAUAGUUAAUGUUUAAUUUCUCUUUAAAAUUUCUUUCUCCCUCCCCACCCCAACUGGACUGUAAAUUCCACAAGAGCAGGAUCAUGUUUGCCUCACUCAUCACUGAAUUCCUGGCACCUCGCACAGAACCUGAGUAUUGCAGAACCCAUGCCUGCUAUGCACAUAUGCAUUGAUAUAAGCCUAUUAUAUAAAUAAACAGAUCAAUAUCUAUUUGGCUAUUUACACCCCACCUAUAUGUCUUUGGUCAAGAUUUAAAAGCUCCUGGAAAAACAAAAAUACAAUUUCCUUAGGAAUAAAAGCCUACCACAGCCUUGUGUAAAAUUAAGCACUUAAUAACCUUGAUGAUGUUGCUGAACUGUUCAAGGAGAAGAUGAGGAUAAUGACAUCUCUAAGUGUGUUGUGAAAUUACUACUCACAAGUUAGCAAUACUAAUCACUUACUCUUGUAUCGUGCAUUCCACUUGGAAAACACUUUCAUGUAUACUGCCUUAUUUGAAGCGGGCACUAUAGGUGUUAUUAUCACACCUUUAUAGACUGAAAAUCAGUGGCAGAAGUCACAUGAGGUCUAGGGUGUGUUCUUUCCAUUCUAACAUGUAAAGUCCCUUCAUCUCUCUGGGCCCGUUUCCUCAUCUACAGAUGAGGAAAUGUGGACAAAAUAUUUUUAAACUAUUUCCAGCUCUACAAUUCUGUGUUUAUGCCUCUAAUGAUCACAAAGCUCUAUAAAAUUAAGGGCAAAGACAAAUAAUUACAGUUCAAAACUUAGCACUCAUGAUUUCCCUACUGUUUUUAGAACUAUGCAAAACACCAUCCAAUGGAUUCAACUAUUCACAUGAGGAACUCUUGAAGUCACCAAGCUCCCAGAAAGCCUGAUCUUAGGUGGACACAAAAUUCUGGAAAAAGGCGUCAAGUCAAUAUUGGUAAAGAACACAGUAUACCUUGAUCUGGCCCUGUGCAGCCAAAUGAAUGCUUGUUCAGAGUGCACGUACCACAUCUUACUUAUCUAUUCAUCUGUUGAUGGACACAUGGGUUGCUUCCACCUUCGGGCUAUUGUACGUAA